rnacentral:rRNA from 1 species
UACAGGGGGUGCAAACGUUGCUCGGAAUCAUUGGGCGUAAAGCGCACGUAGGCGGUUCGUUAUGUCGGAUGUGAAAGCCCUUGGCUUAACCGAGGAAGUGCAUCCGAAACUGGCGAGCUAGAGUACUAAAGAGGAUCGCGGAAUUCCCGGUGUAGAGGUGAAAUUCGUAGAUAUCGGGAGGAACACCGGUGGCGAAGGCGGCGAUCUGGGUAGAUACUGACGCUGAGACUCGAAAAGCGUGGGGAGCAAACAGG